UACGUAGGGGGCAAGCGUUGUCCGGAUUUAUUGGGUUUAAAGGGUGCGUAGGCGGCCCCGUAAGUCAGUGCUGAAAUAUCCCGGCUUAACCGGGAGGGUGGCAUUGAUACUGCGAGGCUUGAGUAAAGUUGAGGUAGGCGGAAUUGACGGUGUAGCGGUGAAAUGCUUAGAUAUCGUCAAGAACACCGAUAGUGUAGACAGCUUACUAGCUUAACUUGACGCUGAGGCACGAAAGUGUGGGGAUCAAACAGG
rnacentral:rRNA from 1 species